rnacentral:misc_RNA from 1 species
GUACUCUCACACUCUCUGAUUUCAGAUCGGGGAGAGGUGGACUUGGGUGUUGCUGCUUACCUGUGGCUCAUCUCAAAUGCAGUAGUGCACCUCUUGGUCGGACAUAGUACAGCGUGAUAAGUAUCUUCGCUGGCACCUCAAAUGAGGGUGUCUGAUUUGGAGCUCUGCGCUUCAAACUGUCCCUUGGUUUGGACACACUCUGACA